AAACUUUUGAUCUAUAUUAUAUAAAUGCCUAAGUACGAGCAUCUUUUACAUGCUGGGAUUUUAUUUUAAGUAUUUGCCUUCCCACUUUUCUUCUUUCCCUACUCCACCUACAUCAACUUGUCUCUCUCUGUCAGAAGAUCUGCCUUUCCAUAGCUGGGUGACCAGAGAAGAGGGAUGUGGUAAAUUGCCUACCAAAUACUUUUCAUCCAGGAUUUUGUUUCUAGAAGACCAAGACUCUGAGAUCAGAAAGGAUUCACAGGCAUAGACCAAGCAAAUGGACAAGCACUACACACAAAACUAACAUACUGAGGGACUCAGCCUUCCUUCGAGUCUACAUGAAAGUUUUGAUUUCACAGAUCGCAAUGAGGGACCAUUAAAUCAGAGAUUAAAAAACAUCCUCUGCUCUUGGGACAGAAAUGAAGGACAACUGGUGACUGUGAUGAAGAAUCUGCUCUGCAAGUCAAGUGUUUGCCCCCAAAGCUUUGUGAUUGGAAAAUCUAGCAGGCACGAGUCCAGUAAAAGAACACUUGAACUGAAAGUGUAUUAUCCUAAAGUGCACAUUUUUAUUUAAUUCGGGGGAAUGCAGAAUGAAUCAUAAUAGGUCAAUAAUAAUGACUUAUGGCUUCCUUCAUAUGGCACAUUUACAAUAAAUGGUAAUUAACAUUAAAGAGUGGCCUAUUC
rnacentral:lncRNA from 12 species